UACGUAGGGAGCAAGCGUUGUCCGGAAUCAUUGGGCGUAAAGCGCGCGUAGGUGGCUUCGUAAGUCAGCUGUGAAAGUCAAGGGCUCAACCCUUGAAUGCCGGUUGAUACUGUCGGGCUAGAGUCCGGAAGAGGCGAGUGGAAUUCCCGGUGUAGCGGUGAAAUGCGCAGAUAUCGGGAGGAACACCAAUGGCGAAGGCAGCUCGCUGGGACGGUACUGACGCUGAGACGCGAAAGCGUGGGGAGCAAACAGG
rnacentral:rRNA from 1 species